CAUUUAUAAUGAAUUUGUAUUAAGGAAGAUGAGAGCACUUAAUUUUAUGCAAUAUUUUUAAGUCCUUUCUUUGCAGGCAAUCAUAGAACCGUUCUUCAAAGCAUCCAAAGUCACUGAAAGAUGACGAAAAUAUGAAGACUGUAAGCAGAUUGAUUUCUGAAGCGUGUAAAAGACUGUUGUGGUUACCUCCCAUGGAUCUUUUCUAUCUAGCUGUGGCUGCGGAUGGCGGGGAGCAUGGUGUCACCUUUCCUAUCACAGGAAGAAGGACCAGGACAUAAACUAACAGCUGCCAGGGAAGGGCUGUGACCUAGACCUUACAUUAAAAGCUCUUCAAAAGGCAACAGCAUCAAGCAUGCUGUGGGAACAAAUAUUGUGAUGCAGCUGAAUGUCAUUGGGAAGCAAGGUACUGUAUAUCAGCCCUACAUAAUGAAUGCAAAUUGUAUUUUUAGGAUCCAAAUGGGAAAGCAUAAAAGGCUACAAAAGCUUUAAUUUAUGAUUUAUUCAUUUAAAGCUUCAGGCCAUUAAGUACCCAUUAAAUAACUAUUUUAUAUGCUGCUAAGUGCAUCUCUAUCGUCAGAAUAAAAAGAUUGUUUUAGUUCA
rnacentral:lncRNA from 1 species